GAUGAAGAACGUAGCGAAAAGCGAUAAGUAGUGUGAAUUGCAGAAUUCAGUGAAUCAUCGAAUCUUUGAACGCACAUUGCGCCCCUUGGUAUUCCAUGGGGCAUGCCUGUUCGAGCGUCAUUUGUACCUUCAAGCUCUGCUUGGUGUUGGGUGUUUGUCUCGCCUCUGCGUGUAGACUCGCCUCAAAACAAUUGGCAGCCGGCGUAUUGAUUUCGGAGCGCAGUACAUCUCGCGCUUUGCACUCAUAACGACGACGUCCAAAAGUACAUUUUUACACUCUUGACCUCGGAUCAGGUAGGGAUACCCGCUGAACUUAAGCAUAUCAAUAAGCGGAGGA
rnacentral:misc_RNA from 1 species